rnacentral:rRNA from 1 species
GAUCCUGGCUCAGGACGAACGCUGGCGGCGUGCUUAACACAUGCAAGUCGAACGAGAGCGUAGAGAAAGCUUGCUUUUUCUACAAUCUAGUGGCAAACGGGUGAGUAACGCGUAAACAACCUGCCCUACGGAUGGGGACAACAGCUGGAAACGGCUGCUAAUACCGAAUACGCUCCGAAAGUCGCAUGACUGUCGGAAGAAAGGAUGGCCUCUAUUUAUAAGCUAUCGCCGGAGGAGGGGUUUGCGU